UACGUAGGGUGCAAGCGUUUAAUCGGAAUUACUGGGCGUAAAGCGUGCGCAGGCGGUUAUGUAAGACAGAUGUGAAAUCCCCGGGCUCAACCUGGGAACUGCAUUUGUGACUGCAUAGCUAGAGUACGGUAGAGGGGGAUGGAAUUCCGCGUGUAGCAGUGAAAUGCGUAGAUAUGCGGAGGAACACCGAUGGCGAAGGCAAUCCCCCUGGACCUGUACUGACGCUCAUGCACGAAAGCGUGGGGAGCAAACAGG
rnacentral:rRNA from 1 species